rnacentral:rRNA from 1 species
GUGGAUUAGAUACCCCGGUAGUCCACACCGUAAACGUUGGGCGCUAGGUGUGGGAUCCAUUCCACGGGUUCCGUGCCGCAGCUAACGCAUUAAGCGCCCCGCCUGGGGAGUACGGCCGCAAGGCUAAAACUCAAAGGAAUUGACGGGGGCCCGCACAAGCGGCGGAGCAUGCGGAUUAAUUCGAUGCAACGCGAAGAACCUUACCUGGGUUUGACAUACGCCGGAAAGCAUCAGAGAUGGUGCCCCUUUUUGUCGGUGUACAGGUGGUGCACGGCUGUCGUCAGCU